rnacentral:rRNA from 1 species
UGCCAGCCGCCUCGGUAAUACGGAGGGGGGUAGCGUUGUUCGGAAUUACUGGGCGUAAAGCGCGCGUAGGCGGACUAUUAAGUCGAGGGUGAAAUCCCAGGGCUCAACCCUGGAACUGCCUUCGAUACUGGUAGUCUUGAGGUCGAGAGAGGUGAGUGGAAUUCCGAGUGUAGAGGUGAAAUUCGUAGAUAUUCGGAGGAACACCAGUGGCGAAGGCGGCUUUCUGGACCAAUACUGACGCUGAGAUGCGAAAGCGUGGGGAGCGAACAGGAUUAGUUA